rnacentral:rRNA from 1 species
AGAGUUUGAUCAUGGCUCAGGAUGAACGCUGGCGGCGUGCCUAACACAUGCAAGUCGAGCGAUUCUCUUCGGGAGAAGAGCGGCGGACGGGUGAGUAAACGCGCGGGUAACCUGCCCUGUACACACGGAUAACAUACCGAAAGGUAUGCUAAUACGAGAUAAUAUGCUUUAUCGCAUGGUAGAAGUAUCAAAGCUCCGGCGGUACAGGAUGGACCCGCGUCUGAUUAGCUAGUUGGUAAGGUAACGGCUUACCAAGGCGACGAUCAGUAGCCGACCUGAGAGGGUGAUCGGCCACAUUGGAACUGAGACACGGUCCAAACUCCUACGGGAGGCAGCAGUGGGGAAUAUUGCACAAGGGGCGAAAGCCUGAUGCAGCAACGCCGCGUGAGCGAUGAAGGCCUUCGGGUCGAAAAGCUCUGUCCUCAAGGAAGAUAAUGACGGUACUUGAGGAGGAAGCCCCGGCUAACUACGUG